rnacentral:piRNA from 1 species
UGAUGCCUUCAGAAACCAGACCAGAU